rnacentral:rRNA from 1 species
AACGAACGCUAGCGGCAUGCCUAACAUAUGCAAGUCGAACGAGACCUUCGGGUCUAGUGGCGCACGGGUGCGUAACGCGUGGGAACCUGCCCUUAGGUUCGGAAUAACUCCCCGAAAGGGGUGCUAAUACCGGAUAAUGUCUUCGGACCAAAGAUUUAUCGCCUUUGGAUGGGCCCGCGUUGGAUUAGCUAGUUGGUAGGGUAAAAGCCUACCAAGGCGACGAUCCAUAGCUGGUCUGAGAGGAUGAUCAGCCACACUGGGACUGAGACACGGCCCAGACUCCUACGGGAAGCAGCAGUGGGGAAUAUUGGACAAUGGGCGAAAGCCUGAUCCAGCAAUGCCGCGUGAGUGAUGAAGGCCUUAGGGUUGUAAAGCUCUUUUACCCGGGAUGAUAAUGACAGUACCGGGAGAAUAAGCUCCGGCUAACUCCGUG